rnacentral:rRNA from 2 species
GAGGGUGAUGCCUGCCCAAUGGUUGUAUCUAAAAGCGGUUGAUAAAAGUCGACCUCGUAAGGACAAUUGAAUGGCCGCGGUAACACUGACCGUGAUAAUGUAGCGUAAUCAAUAGCCAAUUAAUUGUUGGCCAGUAUGAAUGGCGCCACGAAGGCCCCACUGUCUUAAGGAAAUUCCCAGUGAAAUUGAAUUCGUAGUGAAGAUGCUACGUCCAAUUUGUUAGACGAAAAGACCCCGUUGAGCUUUACUGGGGCACUUACACGGCCCCGGCCUUCCCGUGUCCGGGAACCGGCCGAAUUUAAAUGGGUGGUUUAGACUAUGUGGCAGCCCCCCGCCGGGGCAGAUGAAACCCCACUCCCCCAUGUCAAAGGGGCUAACCCCCUCUUGGGGGGGAGAGUGUAAGUAGGACAGUUUGGUUGGGGCGACCGCCUUUUAAAGAGUAACGAAGGUGCGCUUAAGGUGCGCAAUUAAUGACUGAAGCCUGACUGCGAGGGGGACACCCCGAGCAGACACCCCUAAGCCCGCCCGAAGGGCGGCGGUGGGGUGG